GCGGGGCUGUGGGGUACGUCUGGAGACAAUAUCCCCGGGGCCUUAUCGAUCCUGAAGGGAGCUGUCCCUGACCUUGCCCCUGGGCUCGGACACACGGCGCCCACCUACUUUGUAGGUUUCCCGGGAUCGCACUCCGACGGCUUUCGCGGCUCCGCA
rnacentral:other from 1 species